UACGGGGGGGGCAAGCGUUGUUCGGAAUUACUGGGCGUAAAGGGCUCGUAGGCGGCCAACUAAGUCGGACGUGAAAUCCCUCGGCUUAACCGGGGAACUGCGUCCGAUACUGGAUGGCUUGAGUUCGGGAGAGGGAUGCGGAAUUCCAGGUGUAGCGGUGAAAUGCGUAGAUAUCUGGAGGAAGACCAGUGGCGAAGGCGGGUCUCUGGACAGUUCCUGACGCUGAGGCACGAAGGUCAGGGGAGCAAACGGG
rnacentral:rRNA from 1 species